CUACGAAAGGUGCAAGCGUUGUUCGGAUUUACUGGGCGUAAAGAGAGUGUAGGUGGUUUAUUAAGUCGGAUGUGAAAUCCCGGGGCUCAACCUCGGAACUGCAUUCGAUACUGAUAGGCUAGAGUUUGGGAGGGGUAAGCGGAAUUCCGUGUGUAGCAGUGAAAUGCGUAGAUAUACGGAGGAACACCUGAGGCGAAGGCGGCUUACUGGACCAAUACUGACACUGAGACUCGAAAGCGUGGGUAGCAAACAGGAUUAGAAACCCUAGUAGUCC
rnacentral:rRNA from 1 species